GAAAAGGCAGGCUGAGGGUCUGUGUGCGCAUGCCUCCUUCCCACCGCAGGGCCUGACGGCAUCAUGUCUCGGGGAGGGGGCUCGGCAGGCGAGGCGUGUGGGCGCAGAGGGCUGGGGAGCCCAGAGGCCGGCCUCCUUCUUGCUGUCCCCCCGCCGCCCGUAGGGGACCACAGAGCUGGGAAGGGGCACUGCUCGUGGGUGCGGGGGGGGGGGGGGUGGGCCGGGGCCUGGUGGCGUCACAGCGACCCGAGCGGGGAGGGCCGGCGGGCGACCCAUCCGCAAGCGGAAGACAGAGGUGGAGAGGUCAGAGCGGGAGGGCCUCCUUGGACUGCAGUUCUGCGUGUGCUAAUGAGCUUGAACUCUGGCCCCACUGCAGCCCGCCUGGCGGGGUCGUCCUGAGGCGGUGGCAUUAUCGGUUCCCCAAGACUCCGGCGACCCCCAGCCGUCCCCGUGCUGUUUGGGGCCAGACGCGGACGCCCGCUUCCAGCCGGAGCCGAGAGGUUGACACCGCUGGCGGCCUCCGCAGCCAGUGGGGCGCUGGAGCACGGAGGGCCGACCUAGCAGCCUGCCCCCGAGGUGGGGGAGGCCCGGAACCCCUCCCAGGAGGCUGGAUGAGGAGCUGAGUUCACUUCCUGAUUUGCCUGGAAAAUACCCUUGGAAUCCACUUGGCAAGUGGCCGCGGUACCUUUGCGGGAGGACAUUUCUUCCGCUUGCAGGGAGAGCACACACGGCGUGGAGGCCCCUCCCGGCUGGACACACAGGCUGGACUUCCCUGGGGUGACUCACGGGUGCCCGACUUCCCCUCUGUCCGGGCCAGGGGCGAGGACGCACAGUGGGUGCCCAGGCGGCUUCCCCGGGGGCAGGAGGGACUGCCAUGGGGACCCGCCAGGCCAGAGAUGGUGCUCUUGCUUCCUGGGGGACACGAUGCAUCUGGGGGCAUCCCGGAGCCCCUCCCCAAGGGGCGUCCGGAGCGGGAGGGCCUCUCGGAAUAGUCUCUUCUUGUCCCUCCCUCAGCCCCGGACGUGGGGCUGGAGCUCCUGACCCAGCACGGCGGCCCAGCUUCCGACAGGAUGGCCUGGCGGCCGAGAUGCAGGGGACAAACGCAGGGUGCGCCGUACGGGGCCUUCUGGAGCCGCAGCCUGAGGGGCUCCGGGGGAACGGACAGGGGAGGAGCCGUGCCCUCUCCCCGAGCCUGUUUCCUCGCCUUCGAACCCCUCACCGCAGCGUAGGAAUCCAGGCCCAACUGGGGAGGUGGCCGGUGCUGUCUUCAGUGGGUCCCUUCUGCCUCUGUGCCUCAGUCUUCACCCCUGAGAAGUGGGCGCCUACCCUCGCGGAGGGCAGAAGAUGCUGCGUGAUCGCCGCGUGUGUAAGAGGUGCCGUGCGUGAGGGAUGCUCUCGUUACAAAUGUUAAUGAAGGAGGCAGGGGGGACUGGAGCCCGGGUCUGGGGGCAGCCUCGCCCCACCAAGCUGGCGAGACCCCGGACCAGGGGCCUGGGCCCUGAGCCUCUGUCUCUUGAUCUGUAAAAGGCGGUAGCUGCAUCAGUUGUCCACAGCCCGCCUGGGAUCCGACGUGACGGACAGGUGCCGGGAUGACAUUUGUGGGUGGGCGAUCAGGCCGGGAGGCACCAGCGUUGUCUUUGCCCGAAUUUCCCCCCCAGAAUGUGGGCCACGGGCCAGCUGGACGUCACCUGGAGGGGCCCUGGACGGAGACAGCCUCGGAGGAAGGCCGGGCCUCUGUGUGGAAGUCCGCUCCGCCCCACAGCGCGUCCUGGGCUGCAGUUAGCUUCUCUGUCGCUUCCCCGAGGGCAGAUGUUGGGCGGAGAUCUGCCCUCCCGGAGCUGGAAGCGUCAGGAUGCGCAGGGCAGCCAGAGCGGAUGAUGGCAUCCGGCGGGUAAAACGAGCCCAUCGGGUGAGGCCCAGCUGGACGCAGGUCACAGGCCCGGACGCCUGAUACCCCUGAGAAGGCCACCUUCCCCCCGCUGUCACUGAGCCGUGUUGCUGUGGAGACGGCCCCUGCCGGGCACAGAAGAUGCCUUCCGAGCGGGAGGUGGGCAGGCGAGGGUGGCAAGGGGAGCUGGGGGCAGGGCGUCCACGUGUCUGGGGAGCGGGACAAUGGCUGCUGGCCGCUGGCCCCUUCAGAGCAGGCCUGUGGCGGUCAGUUUCCCUCCCAACUUCUCCCCAACAUUUGAGCUCGCUUUGUGAGAGAGCAAGACACAGGGAUCCUUUUUCAGAGGAUCACCUCCUUUCUUUCUUGUUGAAAAGUCAGAGGCCACGGGCGCCCGGGUGGCUCAGUCGGCCAAGCGUCCGACUUCGGCUCAGGUCACGAUC